GUUCCUGGCUCAGGAUGAACGCUAGCUACAGGCUUAACACAUGCAAGUCGAGGGGCAGCAUGAACUUAGCUUGCUAAGUUUGAUGGCGACCGGCGCACGGGUGAGUAACACGUAUCCAACCUGCCGAUGACUCGGGGAUAGCCUUUCGAAAGAAAGAUUAAUACCCGAUGGCAUAGUUCUUCCGCAUGGUAGAACUAUUAAAGAAUUUCGGUCAUCGAUGGGGAUGCGUUCCAUUAGGUUGUUGGG
rnacentral:rRNA from 1 species